CCUACGGGAGGCAGCAGUGGGGAAUUUUGGACAAUGGGCGCAAGCCUGAUCCAGCAAUGCCGCGUGCAGGAUGAAGGCCUUCGGGUUGUAAACUGCUUUUGUACGGAACGAAAAAGUCUGCCCUAAUACGGUGGGCCCAUGACGGUACCGUAAGAAUAAGCACCGGCUAACUACGUGCCAGCAGCCGCGGUAAUACGUAGGGUGCGAGCGUUAAUCGGAAUUACUGGGCGUAAAGCGUGCGCAGGCGGUUAUAUAAGACAGAUGUGAAAUCCCCGGGCUCAACCUGGGACCUGCAUUUGUGACUGUAUAGCUAGAGUACGGUAGAGGGGGAUGGAAUUCCGCGUGUAGCAGUGAAAUGCGUAGAUAUGCGGAGGAACACCGAUGGCGAAGGCAAUCCCCUGGACCUGUACUGACGCUCAUGCACGAAAGCGUGGGGAGCAAACAGGAUUAGAUACCCUGGUAGUCCACGCCCUAAACGAUGUCAACUGGUUGUUGGGUCUUCACUGACUCAGUAACGAAGCUAACGCGUGAAGUUGACCGCCUGGGGAGUACGGCCGCAAGGUUGAAACUCAAAUGAAAUUGACGGCNGAGAGUAGACGACGACGACGACGAGGGAGGAGG
rnacentral:rRNA from 1 species